AACGCUAUCGGCAGGCUUAAUACAUGCAAGUCGUGGGGCAGCGCAGUGUAGCAAUACAUGGGCGGCGACCGGCAAACGGGUGCGGAACACGUACGCAACCUUCCUUUAAGUGGGGGAUAGCCCAGGGAAACUUGGAUUAAUACCCCUUAUCAUUAUGAGAUGGCAUCAUCUUAUAAUUAAAGCUCCGGCGCUUAGAGAUGGGCGUGCGUCUGAUUAGGUAGUUGGCGGGGUAACGGCCCACCAAGCCUACGAUCAGUAACUGGUGUGAGAGCACGACCAGUCACACGGGCACUGAGACACGGGCCCGACUCCUACGGGAGGCAGCAGUAAGGAAUAUUGGUCAAUGGACGCAAGUCUGAACCAGCCAUGCCGCGUGAAGGAUGAAGGUCCUCUGGAUUGUAAACUUCUUUUACCUGGGAAGAAACCACAAUUUCUAUUGUGGUUGACGGUACCA
rnacentral:rRNA from 1 species